AUGAACGCUAGCUACAGGCUUAACACAUGCAAGUCGAGGGGCAGCAUGGUCUUAGCUUGCUAAGGCCGAUGGCGACCGGCGCACGGGUGAGUAACACGUAUCCAACCUGCCGUCUACUCUUGGACAGCCUUCUGAAAGGAAGAUUAAUACAAGAUGGCAUCAUGAGUCCGCAUGUUCACAUGAUUAAAGGUAUUCCGGUAGACGAUGGGGAUGCGUUCCAUUAGAUAGUAGGCGGGGUAAUGGCCCACCUAGUCUUCGAUGGAUAGGGGUUCUGAGAGGAAGGUCCCCCACAUUGGAACUGAGACACGGUCCAAACUCCUACGGGAGGCAGCAGUGAGGAAUAUUGGUCAAUGGGCGAGAGCCUGAACCAGCCAAGUAGCGUGAAGGAUGACUGCCCUAUGGGUUGUAAACUUCUUUUAUAAAGGAAUAAAGUCGGGUAUGCAUACCCGUUUGCAUGUACUUUAUGAAUAAGGAUCGGCUAACUCCGUGCCAGCAGCCGCGGUAAUACGGAGGAUCCGAGCGUUAUCCGGAUUUAUUGGGUUUAAAGGGAGCGUAGAUGGAUGUUUAAGUCAGUUGUGAAAGUUUGCGGCUCAACCGUAAAAUUGCAGUUGAUACUGGAUAUCUUGAGUGCAGUUGAGGCAGGCGGAAUUCGUGGUGUAGCGGUGAAAUGCUUAGAUAUCACGAAGAACUCCGAUUGCGAAGGCAGCCUGCUAAGCUGCAACUGACAUUGAGGCUCGAAAGUGUGGGUAUCAAACAGGAUUAGAUACCCUGGUAGUCCACACGGUAAACGAUGAAUACUCGCUGUUUGCGAUAUACUGCAAGCGGCCAAGCGAAAGCGUUAAGUAUUCCACCUGGGGAGUACGCCGGCAACGGUGAAACUCAAAGGAAUUGACGGGGGCCCGCACAAGCGGAGGAACAUGUGGUUUAAUUCGAUGAUACGCGAGGAACCUUACCCGGGCUUAAAUUGCAGAUGAAUUACGGUGAAAGCCGUAAGCCGCAAGGCAUCUGUGAAGGUGCUGCAUGGUUGUCGUCAGCUCGUGCCGUGAGGUGUCGGCUUAAGUGCCAUAACGAGCGCAACCCUUGUUGUCAGUUACUAACAGGUUCCGCUGAGGACUCUGACAAGACUGCCAUCGUAAGAUGUGAGGAAGGUGGGGAUGACGUCAAAUCAGCACGGCCCUUACGUCCGGGGCUACACACGUGUUACAAUGGGGGGUACAGAGGGCCGCUACCACGCGAGUGGAUGCCAAUCCCAAAAACCUCUCUCAGUUCGGACUGGAGUCUGCAACCCGACUCCACGAAGCUGGAUUCGCUAGUAAUCGCGCAUCAGCCACGGCGCGGUGAAUACGUUCCCGGGCCUUGUACACACCGCCCGUCAAGCCAUGGGAGCCGGGGGUACCUGAAGUGCGUAACCGCGAGGAGCGCCCUAGGGUAAAACUGGUGACUGGGGCU
rnacentral:rRNA from 1 species